AGUACUCUGAAUUCAUCUGCUUAUCAUCUCCAGCAUUCCCAUCAAACUUUGUCCCUGUUCUCUAGCCGGUCUGGACCUAUAUGAAGCCAACAGUUAUGUGCAGUUGGAUUGUUCUGUUCAUUGCUACAGUUAAGGAGAGAAAUCUCAUCCUUGGGAUGCAGCUAUUUUUGUUUUCUAGACUUUUGCUAGCAGCAGAAUGUCACCUAUCCCACCUGUGCAUUCUAACAUGAAGACAUGAAAGGAGAAGGAGUAGGUGAAAUCCAGAGAGGAGGACUUGAAGAACUCUGCAGUCCCAUAUGUCAGCCUCAGAAUGGAACCCAAGGACAACCACAUUGAAAAUUCAGGUUCUUUACAUCCUUUAUAUCCUACAUUAGAGAAUGAAAAUGUUGUCUGGCGUAAGACAUAGUUACUUUUUACUGAAAAAUUAAUCAAGGGAUUUAAAUAUGCAGACAGAGUAGGAAGCUUUUGAGAAUCUAUGAUUUCUGGAUACUUUGAGAACUUCCAAACUGACAGCAUUCAGUUUGUUCAUUGUAUAAUUCUAACAAAAACAUCAGCUCCAGCCAUUGCAACAACAAUGUAGACACCAAACCUUUCAUGGUGUCUUUAGGGUUGAAAAUGAAACACUGAAUGUCAUUGUCAAAUAUCCUAUUUUUGGAUUAUUAUGCCACAUCAGACUCUUUUCUCUAUUUAUACCCUAAGUGUUAGGCAUGUUUGAUGGAAAUAGGCAUACACUGCAUUCCAGACACGGGGAAAAAUUAUCAUAGAGUCACAGAAUGGUUUGGGUUUGAAGGGACUUUAAACCUCACCCAGCUCCAACCUCUGCUGCGGGCUGGCUGCCCCCACCAGCUCAGGCCACCCAGGGCCCCAUCCACUGCCUUGGGCAUUCCAG